GAGGAAAAAGAGGGUGGGGCCAGAGAAAUAAAGAGUAGGAUUAGUAAGUGAAAGAAAAAGUUGCUUUGUUGUGUGGGGGGGGUGUUCUUGCUUGCUAUACUCAAUUUUGCUUUCCCGUGUCUGCUGUACACAAAACACCUGAUCUCUGCAAUGUAUUGCUCCUUUCUUUCAUUCACCUGUGAUGCAUAAGACUAGAUUAUUUUCGGCAUAUCUACUGUUUGCAAAGUGUUACUACUGAAAAAUAUCCCUGAAACUGAGCUCUUUGGGUGGAUAAGCAAAGGAAAAAUAGAAAAUAAUUAAGGUAAGGGAAAGGCUAAAGGAUAAGCCUGUGUAUAAAUGGGAAAUGGAUAAGCUCAAAUGCAUUAUCUGGUUUCAAUGUAACACCCAAGAUUUAACAAACUCAGUGCUAGAAGACUUGAAAAUAAGUGUAAUUUACCACCAUCUAUUGAGCAGCUAUUAUGAGCCAGGCACUGUGCUAGGGCUGGGGAUACAUAAGUGAAUAAUGCACAGUCCCAGAACUCAGAUUAUUUGGUUUUGUUUUACCAAAUCCAAAUGCAGUACCUGCAUUUCUCUUUUCCAAACUGAGAUGGCUAUCAAACAUGUCUUUCAGAAAGUGUUUGCAGGUGAGAAGAUGCGCAAGGUGAAGGAAAGUUUUCCUGACCCAGAUCUUAGAAGGAAAGGAGAGGAUACAUUUUGCUUUGUGGCAUAUUUAUUGUGGGCAAAAAGCUACUAUUGCCUAAGGGAAGUACGGCUGACCUUAGCCCAUCCCUGGGGCAUAUCUUGUGCGUGUGGUGGGGAGACAAAUCAGGUAGGGAACAAUUCCUUCUCGCCUUACCUCUCUAGCUUCCAUGUUCUUUUAUGGAACAAAUCAGAUUAAUACUAAUGUUAAGGAGAGCUUUAAAGGAGAAAGAGAAUCAAUAAAUCACAGCCUGAAAGUUGUGUAUGUUGUGUGCAAGCUCAGAGGGGCAGUCUUCUUCAAUUUGCCUUGUGCUGGUGAAUUGCUUGAAUGAACUUCGGUAUUUCUUAACACCAGGUACUGGAGCCCACCUUCUUUCUCUCCCUCUGGUUUCCUCUUUAAAUCACAGCCUGACCCCAGUCUUUAUAGUCCAUUGUAAGUGGAAGUUAUAGCUCUAUUCUUCACCCACACCUUGCUCCCUAUCAUUGAUACUUAGAAGAAAGUAACAAUUUGCAGUACUGGCUGAACUCCUUUGGGAAAGUUUCUGGAGUGUAUCAAAUAAGAAUUCAUCAUAGUAACAUGGUCGUUACUGGCUGAACAAAAUUCUUUUUGAGACUAUUGUACUUAGUCAUUAAAUAAUUGUUUACUAAGGCAAUUUUCAUGUUUCUGGAAUUCAGUGUAAUAGUUAACAGCUGUAUAUGUCUCACAAAAGAAACUACUUAGGUUGGAAACAAUGGAAGGUUGUGUAUAAUUAAUUCAAUCAGGUCAUGAAUAUUUAUGUAACAUAUGGCAUUUUAAUUUAUAUGUUCCCAUUCUCAUACUUCAUUACUAUACAGCAGCAACAAGAUAAAUUUCAGGUUUUUUGUUUUUUUAUUAAGUGGGCCAUGUCUAAAAGUUGUCACAUUCCUGGUUGAAUAUUAUGGACAAAAUUUCCCCAUUAAAGUAGUUUUGUCUUUCUCAAGGAUUAUCCUUUAGGGUUGGGUGGAUUAAAAACAUUACAUUAGUGCUUCUUGAGCAUACAAGUCACUAGGGAUCUUGUGAAAAUACAGAUUCCUUUUAGUAGGUUUGGGAUGAGGAAUGAAGGUCUUCAUCUCUCAAAUCUCCCAGGUGAUGUGGAUGCUGCCAGUCCAUCGACCACACUUUGAGUUGGGAGAUUCUACAUCUUUUGAGAAAUAUCCACACUGAAGCCUAUACUCUUAAACUUUCAAAGACUCUGUGUUCAUGUCUGUGUUCUGCAAGAAUUUUUUCUUUUAAGAAAUAAACUGCAUAAAGUAAAAUCAGAAAACCAUAACACUGGUUUUCCAAAUUUGCCACAAAUACUGUAAUACUCUGUAGAGUAAAAUGCAAAGAUUAUUCCUGUUACAAGUUUUCUCUGUAUCAAGUGCAGGAAAGGAACAUGGGUAGAGUCAUGUACCAUUCUUAUCAGUCAGGAGAUGACACGUGGUAAAUUUCUCUUCUUGAUUUUCCUCUUGAUUAUACUCACAUAAGGGAGCUCCAUUUGGUAACAAAGAUGAAAUUCUGUUCACAGUUAACAAGAAUUUAGCAACUUCUUGCUUGGCAAAAUCUGAGACAACCUUACAAAAACAUCCUACAUUAAAUUCAGAAUUUUGGGUAGCUGCAUAAGCUGAAGAUUAUGGAAAACCUGAGCUGAAAAUGGCACCUGGAUCUGUAACUUCUUGUCUUGAACUCUUUUUUGAGCUUUAUUCUGUGAGAGAUCUUCCCCUACAGUGAUUUUUUCUGUUUCUCCUCAGUCGCUGGGGUCUCAGUAAGGGGUGGAGGAUUGGUGUAAAUGAGACAGUCACAUAAAUUGUCUAAUUUGAGCAUGCCAAGUGAUUUUUGUCAGCCUCUUUUGGUCAUAAAAUUUUGGUAUAGCUAUUGUGAAAUAUAGUGUCAUAAAUUUGUCAUAAGCCAUUAAUGAAGGAAGAGAAGCAGAAAUUUAUUUCUGUGGGAAUGCACUCAAAUAUCAAGCAGAUGGUGUUCUACAACAUUUAUUUGGGAAAAUGUGUAUCUGUUACAUAAUCUGAAAUAUGUCUUUUUCACAUUUAAAAAUAUUUGGGUCAUGAUUUAGAGUUUUUAUUGGAUUGUUUUUUAAACUGAGAGGAAGAAGAAAGGUAAUUGUAUUUUAAAACAUUUGACAUGUUACUAAUAAAAUUUUAUUUCUGGUG
rnacentral:lncRNA from 10 species